AAGCAGAUGGAGAAGCUGCAUUGUUGCAGUUGAGCAACAUGGAUUGUACUGCAGCAGACAAUGAAGCCAUAGCUGCACUAUUGCUGUUAGGAAACAUUGAGGUGGAUCCAACUCCAACAGAAGCAGACGGAGAAGCUGCAG